ensembl:snRNA U7 U7 small nuclear RNA
GAAAAUUUGCUCUUUUAGUAUUUGUCUAGUAGGUUCCCUCAAAGAGGAAGCCCCA